rnacentral:rRNA from 1 species
GACGAACGCUGGCGGCGUGCUUAACACAUGCAAGUCGAGCGGUAAGGCCCUUUCGGGGGUACGACGAGCGGCGAACGGGUGAGUAACACGUGGGUGACCUGCCCUCAGCUCUGGGAUAAGCCCGGGAAACUAGGGUCGUAAUACUGGAUAUGACUCCACGGUGCAUGUCGUGGGGUGGAAAGCCUUGUGCGGCUGAGGAUGGGCCCGCGGCCUAUCAGCUUGUUGGUGGGGUGAUGGCCUACCAAGGCGACGACGGGUAGCCGGCCUGAGAGGGCGACCGG